UAGAUACCCUGGUAGUCCACGCUGUAAACGAUGAGUGCUAGAUGUUGGGGGUCAAACCUCGGUGUCGCCGUAAACACAAUAAGCACUCCGCCUGGGGAGUACGCACGCAAGUGUGAAACUCAAAGGAAUUGACGGGGACCCGCACAAGUAGCGGAGCAUGUGGUUUAAUUCGAAGCAACGCGAAGAACCUUACCAGGGCUUGACAUAACAGUGACGGGUUAAGAGAUUAACCGUUCUUCGGGGACACUGC
rnacentral:rRNA from 1 species